rnacentral:rRNA from 1 species
UGGGGAAUAUUGCACAAUGGGCGCAAGCCUGAUGCAGCCAUGCCGCGUGUAUGAAGAAGGCCUUCGGGUUGUAAAGUACUUUCAGCGGGGAGGAAGGUGUUGAGGCUAAUAACCUCAGCAAUUGACGUUACCCGCAGAAGAAGCACCGGCUAACUCCGUGCCAGCAGCCGCGGUAAUACGGAGGGUGCAAGCGUUAAUCGGAAUUACUGGGCGUAAAGCGCACGCAGGCGGUCUGUCAAGUCGGAUGUGAAAUCCCCAGGCUCAACCUGGGAACUGCAUUCGAAACUGGCAGGCUAGAGUCUUGUAGAGGGGGGUAGAAUUCCAGGUGUAGCGGUGAAAUGCGUAGAGAUCUGGAGGAAUACCGGUGGCGAAGGCGGCCCCCUGGACAAAGACUGACGCUCAGGUGCGAAAGCGUGGGGAGCAAACA